CGAGGGGAAUUGAAACAUCUUAGUACCCUCAGGAAAAGAAAUCAAUAGAGAUUGCGUCAGUAGCGGCGAGCGAAAGCGCAAGAGGGCAAACCCAGUGCUUGCACUGGGGGUUGUAGGACUGCAAUGUGCAAGAGCUGAGUUUAGCAGAACAUUCUGGAAAGUAUAGCCAUAGAGGGUGAUAGUCCCGUAUGCGAAAAACAAAGCUUAGCUAGCAGUAUCCUGAGUAGGGCGGGACACGAGGAAUCCUGUCUGAAUCCGGGUCGACCACGAUCCAACCCUAAAUACUAAUACCAGAUCGAUAGUGCACAAGUACCGUGAGGGAAAGGUGAAAAGAACUGAGGUGAUCAGAGUGAAAUAGAACCUGAAACCAUUUGCUUACAAUCAUUCAGAGCACUAUGUAGCAAUACAGUGUGAUGGACUGCCUUUUGCAUAAUGAGCCUGCGAGUUGUGGUGUCUGGCAAGGUUAAGCAAACGCGAAGCCGUAGCGAAAGCGAGUCUGAAUAGGGCGCUUAGUCAGAUGCUGCAGACCCGAAACGAAGUGAUCUAUCCAUGAGCAAGUUGAAGCUAGUGUAAGAACUAGUGGAGGACUGAACCCAUAGGCGUUGAAAAGCCCCGGGAUGACUUGUGGAUAGGGGUGAAAGGCCAAUCAAACUUCGUGAUAGCUGGUUCUCUCCGAAAUAUAUUUAGGUAUAGCGUUGUGUCGUAAUAUAAGGGGGUAGAGCACUGAAUGGGCUAGGGCAUACACCAA
rnacentral:rRNA from 1 species